rnacentral:lncRNA from 1 species
UCCCUGAACUGUCAGAACAUCGCCAUUUGAGCGACAAUUCCUGUAGAAAAGUGAGGUUGAAAGAUGAAAGGGACAGAUUGCACCGAUCCUCAGGAUCAUUUGUACCCGAGAGCGAUGUGAAUUGUCCACCGUGUUUGUUUGUGCCUUCUCUUCUGGGCAGUGACCGCGACGGUGAAAAGAUGGGAGCGACAAUGGAUGGGCAAAGGAUGUAUGUUGAAGCUCGCAGCUAAUUGACAAGGCAAGGGAUUUAUCUCGCUUGUCAGAUUUCUGUUUCCAACAUUGAGCUUUUACUACAGAGAAGUCCAAGAGUUACUCACGAUUCUCUCAAUUCUCGCUCCGGCCAGAAGUGGAGCAGCAAUCGAGCUGCAGUACCACCUCCCUGAUGACCAAAUAACAAGGAACUCUAGGAAGCUAACCGGGAGAGCUAGGAAGAAAAUCAACAGCUCUUACUACUGGGAAUGAU